CCUACGGGUGGCUGCAGUGAGGAAUCUUGGACAAUGGGCGCAAGCCUGAUCCAGCCAUGCCGCGUGAGUGAUGAAGGCCUUAGGGUUGUAAAGCUCUUUUGCCGGGGAUGAUAAUGACCGUACCCGGAGAAUAAGCCACGGCUAAAUUCGUGCCAGCAGCCGCGGUAAUACGAAUGUGGCGAGCGUUGUUCGGAAUCACUGGGCGUAAAGAGUACGUAGGCGGCUUGAUAAGUCAGGAGUGAAAUCCCCAGGCUCAACCUGGGAAUUGCUCUUGA
rnacentral:rRNA from 1 species